CAAGAGUUGUUUUUUGAAUGAUCCUGAAUUGGUAGAGUUCCAAUGCAAAACUACUGAAAAAGAGCUACUAAUGAAAAUUGUAAGGAGCAACAAACAUAGCAAAUGGAUACUGGAUAUUGAACAUUUCACUUCUAAAUAUUGUUCACAUCUCAGAAUUCUAAAACCAAGCUCAGAGGAUCCAACAAUGUCAACUUAAGCAUGGACAAUGAAAGACUGAGGGAAUGAGGAGUGGUUCCCACCGAAACAGGACUGCUGAAGCUUGGAAGAUUUUGUGCAUGCGCUAAGCCCAUUUGCGUUAUAUAUGUGAGUGAGAGAGAGAGAGAGAGAGAGAGAGAGAGAGAGAGAGAGAGAGACCACAUCGAAGAACAGAUCAUUCCUAAAAGUCAACAGCAGAUUACAGCAGCGUGAGCAACCACAGCAUCCUGAAAUGCUAAGCUCUCUCCCUUGGCUGCUCAAUUCCAGGCUCUCUAAAAUCCUUCCUUUAGCCUGACAUGAGGAGGUUGCCUGCUUCUUUUCACACUGGCUUCACAUAUAGAAUUUGCAGGCAGUGGGGGGCGGGGGAGCCAGAUAAUCCAACACCUUCCCAUGAGCUUCUGCCAUAAGGCAUAAAGUAUGUGACUCUCAUUUCUCAGUGGCAACAUUAAUCCAGGAUUGUUCAGAGCAUACUUGGAAGUUGCCUGAGGAUGGACAGAGAGAGUUGGUGAAUCGAUGAGCAGAAGAAAUCCUGAAAGUGGGGGAAAGGCUAUCGGGGUCAGCCCAGGAAAGUGCUAAAGGGGGAGAAAUAACUCCCAGGGCUUUUUGAGACACAGGUGAAGCGGUGACUGUCCUGAAUCAGUGCUUGGAUGCAGUAAUGGUCUGGAUGAGGAUGAAUAAGCUGAGACUCAAUCCAGAUGAGACAGAAGUACUGUUGGUCAGUGGUUCCUCUGCCCGGGUGAAUGAUGUUCAGCCUCUUCUAGAUGGGGUUGCUCUCCUCCUGAAAGAUCAGGUUCACAAUUCGGGGGGUGCUCAUUGAUCCAGCACUGUCACUAGAGGCUAGGGGUGUGCACAGAACCGGCUGGCCAGGUUCGGUUCGAGUCUGGACUGGAACCAGACUGGACAAGUUCAGUCCGGCCCCCAUCAAGCCCCUCCCCCCCGGUCUGGUCGGGGAGGGUGCACAUUUUUUUAAAGUUUUAAUUAAAAAAA